GGAGAGGUCGCAUAGUCUGGUCUAGUGCGCCAUCUUGGAAAGGUGGUAUAGAGGUGACUCUAUCGAGGGUUCAAAUCCCUCCCUCUCCG
rnacentral:tRNA from 1 species